rnacentral:rRNA from 1 species
CAGUCGCCACGGUAAAACGUAGGGGGCAAGCGUUAUCCGGAAUUACUGGGUGUAAAGGGAGCGUAGACGGUUAAACAAGUCUGAAGUGAAAUGCCGGGACUCAACCCCGGAGCUGCUUUGGGAACUGUAGAACUGGAGUGUCGGAGGGGUAAGCGGAAUUCCCAGUGUAGCGGUGAAAUGCGUAGAUAUUUGGAGGAACACCGGCGGCGAAGGCGGCUUACUGGACGACAACUGACGUUGAGGCUCGAAGGCGUGGGUAGCAAACAGGAUUAGAGACCCCCGUAGUCCCGUCUCUUAUACA